ensembl:lncRNA
CUGCAGAUAAGAGGUCCCGGAGCAGUGGGGUGGAGGUGCACUGUGUGGCUCUGAGCUCCUACGUUCCCAGGGGGAGACCAAGCCUGGAUGUGGCGUCUAAGGGAAGUUAUGUUCUUCAUAUUGUGAAAUAGAAGAGUGGAAAAUGGGAAGGCCUUUUGUGGGGUGCCCAUGGGCAGGUGCUCCUGGAGCUCUCUAAAGCAAAAGAGUGUAUGGAGAUAUGGAGAGCCCUUUGGCUGCAAAGCCCAGCCUGGCUAAUGGGGCUCCCACUGUGCAGAACUGAAAUAUGCCAUCCAGUUCUUAGGGGAAAAAUGCUAUUAUCAGAGCCUCUGCUCAUCUGGUUGUGAUUUAUCUGCGUGGCUCCGAGCCUGCGUGGCUUUUGGCUUCCUGAAAAAUAAGGCUCAGUGUACU